rnacentral:rRNA from 1 species
AACGAACGCUGGCGGCAUGCCUAACACAUGCAAGUCGAACGAGACCUUCGGGUCUAGUGGCGCACGGGUGCGUAACGCGUGGGAAUCUGCCCUUGGGUUCGGAAUAACAGUGAGAAAUUACUGCUAAUACCGGAUGAUGUCUUCGGACCAAAGAUUUAUCGCCCAGGGAUGAGCCCGCGUAGGAUUAGGUAGUUGGUGGGGUAAUGGCCUACCAAGCCGACGAUCCUUAGCUGGUCUGAGAGGAUGAUCAGCCACACUGGGACUGAGACACGGCCCAGACUCCUACGGGAGGCAGCAGUGGGGAAUAUUGGACAAUGGGCGAAAGCCUGAUCCAGCAAUGCCGCGUGAGUGAUGAAGGCCUUAGGGUUGUAAAGCUCUUUUACCAGGGAUGAUAAUGACAGUACCUGGAGAAUAAGCUCCGGCUAACUCCGUGC